AUGGACCAGUAUGGACCAGUAACAACCAGUAACCUCCCAGUGCCCUCCCAGUUUCCCCCAGUGCUCCCAGUUUCCCCCAUUUCCAACUUUCCCCCCCAAUUCCUUCUCCCCCCCAUUCCCAAUUUCCCAUUUUCCCAUUUCCCCCAAUUCUUCCAUUUUUCCCCCAUUUUUUCCCAUUUUUCACAAUUUUUUCCCAAUUUUUACAAUUUUUUCCCAUUUUUCCCAUUUCCCCCAAUUUUUCCAUUUUUCCCCAUUUUCCCAAUUUUUUCCCUCAUUUUUUCCCCAUUUUCCCAAUUUUUUCCCUCAUUUUUCCCCGUUUUUCCCUCCUUUUUUUUUCCAUUUCCCCCAUUUUUCCCAUUUUCUUCCCAUUUUUCCCAUUUUCCCCAUUUUUUCAAAUUUUUCCCAAUUUUCACCAUUUUUUUCCCAUUUUUCCCCAUUUUUUCCCCAUUCCCCCAAUUUUCCACAAUUUUUUCCAAUUUUUUCCCAUUUUUUUCCGAUUUUUCCCCAUUUUCCCUAUUUUUUCCCCCAUUUUUCCUCGUUUUCCCUCUUUUUUUCCCAUUUUCUUCCCAUUUUUCCCAUUUUCCCCAUUUUUUCAAAUUUUUCCCAAUUGCCCCAAUUUUUUUCCCAUUUUUCCCCAUUUUUUCCCCAUUUCCCCCAAUUUUCCACAAUUUUUUCCAAUUUUCUCCCAUUUUUUCCGAUUUUUCCCCCAUUUUCCCUCAUUUUCCCUCUUUUUUUCCCAUUUUUCCCCAUUUUCCCCCAUUUUUCCCAAUUUUUCUCCACUUUCCCCAUUUUCCCCAUUUUUUAGAAUUUUUCCCAAUUUCCCCACAUUUUUUCCCAAUUUUCCCCAUUUUUUUAUUUUUCCCCAUUUUCCCCAUUUUCCCCCCAUUUUCCCCAGUUUGUUUCUCAUUUUUCCCAUUUUUUUCCCUAUUUCCCCCAUUUUUUCCCAAUUUUCCCCAUUUUUUCCAAAUUUUCCCCCAUUUUCCCCCAUUUCCCCUCAUUUUUUCCCCAUUUUCCCCAUUUUUUCCCCAAUUUUCUCAAAUUCCCGGUUUUUCACCCCAAAUUCGGAUACAGUUCUCCAUGGGCCGGGUUCCCCAUUCCCACAUUCCCAAUUUUCCCAAUUUCCCGGUUUUUCCCCCCAAAUUUCGGAUACAGCUCUCCAUGGGCCAGGUUCCCCAUUCCCACAUUCCCGUUUUUCCCAAAUUCCCGGUUUUUCACCCCAAAUUUCGGAUACAGUUCUCCAUGGGCCGGCGGGGCCGGGGUGGGGGAGGGGGCGGCAGGUCCAGCAGCACCAGCCCCGCCCCCCCCGAGCGCCCCAAGAUGGCGGCGUUGAGGCGCUCGGCCGCGUGCAUGCGGCGCACGUUCGCCCUGGGACCAGUAAGGACCAGUAUAAACCAGUAUGGACCAGUAUAG
rnacentral:lncRNA from 1 species